UUCCCUGAUUGACCAGAUUGACAGGGGUGGUUCGGUUUUUUUGUGCAGACAUUUUAGGUGUUCAAAGUGGGCUGAUGCGUGGCAUUCAUCCUCUUGGUCUUUUCGGGUUGCCCAUUUCUCUCUCCUGCUUUUCCUCCUCUCAUCCUCACUUCUAAGCAUCCUCAAAUUUCUCUCUCUCUCCUCUAUUGAAGCGCACUCUGAGUUCUUCAUUAGUGUGCACUCUGAGUUCUCCAUUGAAGCCUACUUUGAGUUUUUCGCCGGUGAAUUGGAUUUUUAACUUUUAAGCCCGGCGUUUUCUGGGCGUUUAUUGUCUUUCCUUUGUUUUUUUUCGCCUGAUUUCGAAAUUCUAGGGUUAGGGUUAGGGUUUUUGGUUGGUUUUCAAGAUACUCAAAUCUUGAUUUGCUUUGAUCAAAAUUCUUUAUCUUUUUUGAUGAAGUUGAGUUACUGGGCUCAUUUCUUCUGCUGUAAAUCGGCUGAAUUGUAGUUUGAAGCAAUGUUUACACCCCAGAAGAAGGUUUUCACGGGUUGGUCUUUGUCGCCGAGGAGAGAGAAUCAGAAAACUCCAGUGCCGAAUUCUAAUUCUAGCGCACGAAUUUUUGAAAAUGGAGGUGCGAUUGUUGUUAGGGAUGGAGACGAUCUCUUUGGAUGGAAGAAGCUUGAAAAUGAGAUGCUGGAUUAUAAUGUUCCAGGAGUGAGGAGAAAGAAAGUUUCCAAGUGUUUAUAAUGGUGACCUCACCACCUUCAUCUGCUCCAGAUGGUUAUGGAUCUUGGCAGAAAGCAGAAAUCUUUGGGUCUUUUGUGAAAUGGAGAUCUUCUUUAUUCACACUGCCGCCAUUUCAACCGUCUAAGAUUCUUCGAUUCACUUUCAAUUCCCUGUUUUGCUGUGAUGGAUAUAUUUACAUGUCACGGGCGCAAAAGUAGUUAUGAUCUCAUCUGGUGUGAUCUGUAAGCUAAACUUGAGUCUUCAGCCUCUUAUAUUUCUUGCAGCAUGAGCUUGAUGCAUUGCUAGGGAUGACCUAUUUAUCAAUGCUCUUACGAACUGCAAGUUCUAAGCAAUGAGAAAGAAGAAACAAAGACAGUCGUGGAAAACAAGAACGUGGCAGAAAUUAUUAAGGAAUGGUAUCUAGGCAACAUUGGCUUUUGCAUCAUUCAAAAACGGUCAGUCUUUGGACCAGUGGCUUUGGGAGGGCCAAAUUGCUUGUUGUUUAACAGUUUUUCAUGUGAAUAUCUUGUAAAAAUUAUAAACACUUGUAAUUGUUUAAAUAGUUAUAUAGAUAUUUUUGUGUCUUCUCUAUUGACA